rnacentral:lncRNA from 1 species
GAGGGCGUACAAUGCCAAACUGAAAUAGAAGCUAGGGCGUACAACGCCGAACCUCGAUCAACCAGAUCGAAACACACGACAAGAGAGUCGAUGUGUUGCCUGGACCCAAGGUCCACAGAGAUACUGAAAUACAAAUGCAACCUGCUCUACAUGUCUAUCCACAACUAUACAAUGCAAUCAAGGGGUGCGAUAACCAAACGAUAACAAGCAAUGACAUGUAGAGUCUAAAUACAGGAAUAGAAAAACAGGAGAAGGAAGUGAAACGCUCUCACCGACUACCAGCUCGAAGCACCCACCUGUCACUGUCGCGUCGGAACACUGGGUACGCACAGAGUCUACCGGACCUAAGAAGAUCCACCAAGUCAGUAUCCAAACCACUAACCCCAAGCACGAGACUCACAAACUCCCACACAAGAUCCCCGAAUCGGUUUCCCAAAACCGAUCCCCGUAACUCACCGGAAGUCCCGAAACCACACCGGGACGCCGUCGGGACCCACUAAGUGUCCCGAACUCACCGACUCGUACCACGAGUCACCCACUGCCCCAAAACAUUCCAAUUUGGAUGGCUUGGCAGCGAACACGAGGUAACACAACAAUACGAUCAUCGCCGGAUAAUCGUACGAAUCCGGGUUCCCGGAAGUGUCUAUUUCGACACCGGAACCCUCCGUCGCUCACCUAUCAUCAUCGAACCCACAAAAUGACGAUGGUGACCAGCCAACAAGGCUCAGCGACAAAACACGAAGCAACCAAACACCGUCGGAAGGAAUCCGAACCGAAACCGUGUUCUUUCGGCGAAUUUCGCCGAAAAACGCACCGAAAUCGACCUACCGAUUUCCGCGAAAGCUAACGGACCAUGGACAAUCAGUCCAGCGAUCAUAACAAACUCCCACACACUGCCCACAGUAGCCACGCAAAGCACAAUUGCAUAAAAGACCCUCUAAUUACAUAAAAUAUCAUCAUUUUAUGUAAUUUGAGCGAUCAAGCAGCUCGUUCACGCAAACCGAGGACUUUCAAAGUCCGCAGAGACACGUACUGAUAGGUCUCGACGUACCGGAGUCCGUGCUCAUGAUCCGGAGCACAGCGGCUCGCUGUGGGAAGCGCGGGAGCAACCCGAAGGUUCAGCGAACAGCGCGCAGUCAGGGAAGAUCGCGCCGAACAGAACAAACCGGGCACUUCUGAUCCAAGGGAAGGUGAGCAUUGUGAUCAGCACUGACCAACGAUCACCGUGCUCACCUCCGGAGGCAUCAGGACAGCCUCGGAUCGCCGGAUAAGCGUGCGCAAGCCCAAAACAGCAGCCAAAAAGGCUGAAACGGAGCGACAUCGCCAAAACAGCGGAACGGCGUCUCCCCGACAGAAACUAAGGUGAGCACGAUGAUCAGCAACUUGCCAGGAUCAUCGUGCUCCCUUCCGUAGAGAUCGAAAAAGCUCGGGAAGCCCAGAACAAGAAACCCACUCAAUAAGCCCUAUUUCGGGCUUGGCCGGAGCAACCCUGCUCCGGCCGGCCUCCGGCGGCACGGCGGCGCGCGCGGGGCCCUGAGUCGGGUGAGGGGGAGGUGAGGAACACCGUGCUCACCUCAGACGGCGGCGAGGAGCGGCGGCGGCAGCGGCGGAGCAAGCCGAGCCCGUACCAACUAGAGCUCGGGUUCCAGGAGUUGCUGCGGCCACGGCGGCGGCCGGGGAGCUCCGGGACGGCGGAGGCGGGCUGCAGGAGGUCGGGG